rnacentral:rRNA from 1 species
GGUAAAGGCUCACCAAGGCGACGAUCCGUAGCUGGUCUGAGAGGACGACCAGCACACUGGAACUGAGACACGGUCCAGACUCCUACGGGAGGCAGCAGUGGGGAAUUUGGACAAUGGGGGCAACCCUGAUCCAGCCAUUCCGCGUGAGUGAAGAAGGCCUUCGGGUUGUAAAGCUCUUUCAGCAGGAACGAAACGGUGGUCCCUAAUACGGGCUACUAAUGACGGUACCUGAAGAAGAAGCACCGGCUAACUACGUGCCAGCAGCCGCGGUAAUACGUAGGGUGCGAGCGUUAAUCGGAAUUACUGGGCGUAAAGCGUGCGCAGGCGGUUAUAUAAGACAGAUGUGAAAUCCCCCGGGCUUAACCUGGGAACUGCGUUUGUGACUGUAUAACUCGAGUGUGGCAGAGGGGGGUGGAAUUCCACGUGUAGCAGUGAAAUGCGUAGAGAUGUGGAGGAACACCGAUGGCGAAGGCAGCCCCCCUGGGUCAACACUGACGCUCAUGCACGAAAGCGUGGGGAGA